UCCUACGGGAGGCAGCAGUGGGGAAUAUUGGACAAUGGACCAAGAGUCUGAUCCAGCAAUUCUGUGUGCACGAUGAAGUUUUUCGGAAUGUAAAGUGCUUUCAGUUGGGAAGAAGAAUGUGACGGUACCAACAGAAGAAGCGACGGCUAAAUACGUGCCAGCAGCCGCGGUAAUACGUAUGUCGCAAGCGUUAUCCGGAUUUAUUGGGCGUAAAGCGCGUCUAGGUGGUUGCAUAAGUCUGAUGUGAAAUGCGGGGCUCAACUCCGUAUUGCGUUGGAAACUGUGCGACUAGAGUACUGGAGAGGUAAGCGGAACUACAAGUGUAGAGGUGAAAUUCGUAGAUAUUUGUAGGAAUGCCGAUGGGGAAGCCAGCUUACUGGACAGAUACUGACGCUAAAGCGCGAAAGCGUGGGUAGCAAACAGGAUUAGAUACCCUGGUAGUCC
rnacentral:rRNA from 1 species